UCGCCUCCGCCUCCUCUCUUAUCUGAUUGUAGCCGGAAGACCUCAAAUGUGCUAACUCCAAAGAGAUCUGAGAAUAGAGACCGGAUGAGGUGAGGAGGAACGAGAAGAUUAUUUUGAGGGGUGAAAGGCUUAAGAAAGGGAGAGGAAUGUCCUUAUAGUCACCAGCCGCUCAGGUGGGGUGGCUCCUUACCAAGUGUAACAGGACGUAUCAGGAUAAGUGUCACACUGUUUUGAAAAUCCCAGCCAUGACAGGAGGAGCCAAGAGAAGACGCUCAUCCCCAUGCUUAGACCAAAGCCACCCAAGAGAGGCAGGGAGCAGCCUGAAGGGGGCCGAGUCAAUGGAAGAAUAUUUGAAUGUCUAAUAUGUCUGAAGAACCACGAGAGCCUUCACAGAGCUGCCAAAGUCAAUUCCAUACACUCUACGGUGGGGCAAGACUGUUUGCAUAAUUUCUUGCUCUGAGAAGCACGGUUCCCCGAGGCCUCUGCAGCGAACCCCACCCAGGGCUUCCUGUGUUGCUGUGCCGUCAGUGUUGCCGUCAGUGUUGCCAAACAGUAUUCAACCUCUGGAAUACAUCUACAUGGAACAAAGGAGAUCAUCUCAUUCGCCUACGUGGCCCUACUUUUAAGAUAUUUAGUUACUUCAUGCCACAUUAUUUUUGUGUUUCCCACAGAAAGUCGAUGUGCCCUUUUCACAGGCAUGACCAGCCCCAGGACAAAUGUGAAAUGAGUCAAGUUUGGGUUUGAUGCCUCUGUUCUCUUCAGUUCAGCCUGUAUACCCUUUGCCUCACUUCCGGGUACUACCUCCCACCCAAAAAAGCCACCGGCUCCUCGCCAAUUUUCCAUUCCUCAGGGUCCUGCAAGUCAUCGGCAAAUUAAAUGGUAAUUGUGCUCUCCACAUAAAAUCUUUUCUGGAAUAAAGUAAAAUGUGAAUGAAUGAAGGAGCAAAUGAAUGAAUAAAUACUAAACAAACAAGUCAAAUUGCUUGUGCAAAAAUAUGAAUGCCUCACGAUGACUUAAGUGCUACUCUGCCUAUAUACGGCUUUUCAAUUUUCCCUAGGAGUUCUGAGUGGAACUCAGACAAAUUUAAUAAAACCCAUGGAUGAGAUGGUUUGGGGCAGAGGGCCCUUUUGGUGCAGAGGUGGUACACAUCCUGGCUCAGAUCCCCAUCCCAGAUCACUGUUGUCACUUUCUUACUUGCCUGAAUUCCCAAAGGCACUCCCUGAAUCUAUAUCCUUCAUCUGUAAAGUGAGAAACAUGAACAACUAUUUCCUACGACUAUUAUUAUGAAGUUUCAAAAGGAUCUACUAUGGUACUUAGUAAUCACUAGUCACUCAAAGUAUGACCAUAAUAAUAAUAAUUACUAUUAUUACUGUUCCUAUUGAUGUGUGCUCAAUGUGAAAUUCAUUCGAGGAUUUUAGCAGGUGGCAACAAUACCUUCCCUAGCCCUUUGUUUGAGACAAUGCGUCCAUUUUUAAAUACCUGCAGAUUUUCAAUGUUCUGAGAGUUGUCAUCAAUAACUCCGAAAAAAAGUGGAACCCACUCUGAUUAAUCGGUCCUAGUUUUAGCUAAGGAGGUGCUGCUCAUGGAAAGAAAUGAGAGCAAAGGAAUAGAAGAAAAAUCUACUUUGGCAAAUAACAGAAAGGAAUCGACAGAUGUAGGACAUUCACCUUAAAGUCUCCACCAUCCUUUAUGCUCAGGCAAUUAAUAAUGAUAGUAGUAAUAGUUUUUGCUAUAUAUCAGGUACUUUCCUUAGCAAUGUACUCAUUUAAGUCUCAUAAUAAUUCACCAUUUUGCACACUGAAGAAGCUGAAGCACAGAGAGUAAAAUAACUUGACCAAAGUCUCGAGAACAAAUGGCAGAGCUGUCAUUUGAACUUGAGGUGUCCGCUUCCACAGAUAAGACAGCAGGCUCCAUGGUGGCCCUUCC
rnacentral:lncRNA from 1 species